rnacentral:tRNA from 1 species
GGAGGGGUGCGAGAGUGGUUGAAUCGGGCGGUCUCGAAAACCGUUGUAGGGGCAAUCCCUCUACCGAGGGUUCGAAUCCCUCCCCCUCCG